rnacentral:lncRNA from 1 species
CUUGGCCUCCCGAGGCUCCCACCACCCUUCUCGGCCCGUUCUCAGCCGCCAGGGGCUCUCUUACCGGCCCUCAUCUCCAGCCGUCCCACGCCUCAGCAGCCUUUCCCGCUCCAGGCGCCUUCAAAGCCACCAAUGGCAGUUCCCGCCGCCCCCAGAGCCCCGCCCACCGGUGCUCAGACCUCAGACUGUACCCUCGGCGCCGGGGACCGCGUGGAGGGGAGCGAAGGGAGCGGAAGAGGCCGAGCGCCAGCGUGACUCCUCUUAGGAGAGCAGGUUGUUUAGGUGGUUUGAAUCUAAGUCGCCGAUUCUGGUUUACUGGUUCGGUUUGUUGUUUUGGUAUUGCCCUGCCUCAGUGGACUCGCUCCCCCGACCCCCACAACGCUCGAAAAUGGGCCGGCCCGGGGUUGGGUGGCGCAUGCGCCCCAGGCCGCGCGUGGCGGGGGUGGGGCCGUCCGGGCUGGCUGUGGAGGUCGCGGGAGCCUUCGCCCCACGCAGAGCCGGCGGGACUCUGGGUUUCCCCACCGCUAGAGUGGGGUUCCGAGUCUCCGUUGCCCUGCUGUGAUUCAUCACCUUCUAAAAUGCAUCCUGACUUAUCUCCACAUUUGCACACUGAAGAAUGCAACAUCUUGAUUAACUUACUAAAGGAAUGUCACAAAAAUAAUUAGGUAAGGCCCAGAACCCAAAACCUGGUAUCCAAGCAAAGACACAGCUAAUGACCAACAUGGAGAAGUUCGGUAGGCACAGAUGCUCUGCAGAGAACCUGGAGACGAGCCAGAAAUGACAGAAACAAAAGCGCUUUCACCUCCCCACUGCUCUGCUCUAGCUGGAUAUUCCAUAGAAACCUGGUCCUAACAUUCCCCAGGGGUCUCCUCUCUCAGUGACGGACACUCCACUGUAUCUCUUUGCUACCUUGGAGACUUGUGUCAUCUUCAGCUUCCCCCUUCCCCUCACUUCGUAUCUGGGAAGUCAGCAAGUCCUGCAGGGCUCGCCCGUCCUUCCUUUCUCACCAUCUCCCCUGCUCUCUCUAGGCAGGGCCGGUGGGUGCAGAAUUUUACGGGAUCUCCCUGCCUUCAUUAUCUCCUCUCCUCACAUCCAUUCAGGCCGCAGCCCACAGAGGCUCUGCGCUCUCUUAGAUCAAGGUCCUUCGUGAUCUCGCCUUUGUGAGUCAUCCCGGACGACUCCUGACUUUACCUCCUGACUUGGCCUUCCAUGCCAUCCAGGCUUCAGCCAGGAGGAACCGCUCUCUUUCAGAGCCUCUAAUAUGUGGGCCACUCUCUGCACUUCCCCCUCCCCACCACGGCCCCACUGCCUGGCUCAUUCCUCUCCCCCCCAUCAAGUCUGUUUAGCAUCACUCCUUGGCUCCCCAGUCAGGGAAUGGCCUUCUCGUGCAUCCCACUGAGCCCCCUUCUUCCCCCAUC